AUUGAACGCUGGCGGCAUGCCUUACACAUGCAAGUCGAACGGCAGCAUGAUCUAGCUUGCUAGAUUGAUGGCGAGUGGCGAACGGGUGAGUAAUACAUCGGAACGUGCCCUGUAGUGGGGGAUAACUAGUCGAAAGAUUAGCUAAUACCGCAUACGACCUGAGGGUGAAAGUGGGGGACCGCAAGGCCUAAUGCUAUAGGAGCGGCCGAUGUCUGAUUAGGUAGUUGGUGAGGUAAAGGCUCACCAAGGCGACGAUCAGUAGCUGGUCUGAGAGGACGAUCAGCCACACUGGGACUGAGACACGGCCCAGACUCCUACGGGAGGCAGCAGUGGGGAAUUUUGGACAAUGGGGGCAACCCUGAUCCAGCAAUGCCGCGUGUGUGAGGAAGGCCUUCGGGUUGUAAAGCACUUUUGUCCGGAAAGAAAUCGCACUUACUAAUAUUAGGUGUGGAUGACGGUACCGGAAGAAUAAGGACCGGCUAACUACGUGCCAGCCGCCGCCGUAACAC
rnacentral:rRNA from 1 species